AAAAAAAAAAAAAAAGGAAUUUAUUAGUAAUUUAUAGUUUGUAAAUGGUAAUUGAUCAAUGCCUUCAAUAUAUUUAAUAUUUUUUUUAGAUAGAAUAUGAGCUUUACGAUAUAUAGCUUGCCAAUGCUGGAUGUCAAUAUAUCAAAUUUUCACUGUUAUUGUUUUAAUUUGAAAUUCAAUUUCUUGUAUUCUAUAUUUUAAUAAUUAAAAUUAUUUUUGUGUCAUGUGAUCAAAUUAAACUAUAUUCCUAUUGUUAAGUCAAUAGUUGAUAUGAAUUAGGUGUGACAUUAUUGGCCGGAGAAUAGAAAUUAAAAUUGAAAAGUAUAAAACUGACAUAAUCCGUCUAGAAAAAAAAUUUUAAAAAAAGACAUCUAAAAAAAAAUACAAAUAAAAAUAGAAAUAGACGUUCUAGAUAAUGUGAUUAUAAUUUUAUGUUAGAAGUAAAAUAUUAUAAUAAAAUAUGACAAAUUUAGAGUUUAUAUAUAUUUAAAAUUCUUAAUGUUGCUUAUUUCAUAUUAUGAC
rnacentral:misc_RNA from 1 species